rnacentral:rRNA from 1 species
AUUGAACGCUGGCGGCAGGCUUAACACAUGCAAGUCGAGCGGGGGAAGGUAGCUUGCUACCGGACCUAGCGGCGGACGGGUGAGUAAUGCUUAGGAAUCUGCCUAUUAGUGGGGGACAACAUCUCGAAAGGGAUGCUAAUACCGCAUACGUCCUACGGGAGAAAGCAGGGGAUCUUCGGACCUUGCGCUAAUAGAUGAGCCUAAGUCGGAUUGGCUAGUUGGUGGGGUAAAGGCCUACCAAGGCGACGAUCUGUAGCGGGUCUGAGAGGAUGAUCCGCCACACUGGGACUUAGAAACGGCCCAGACUACUACGGGAGGCAGCAGUGGGGAAUAUUGGACAAUGGGGGGAACCCUGAUCCAGCCAUGCCGCGUGUGUGAAGAAGGCCUUAUGGUUGUAAAGCACUUUAAGCGAGGAGGAGGCUACUCUAGUUAAUACCUAGGGAUAGUGGACGUUACUCGCAGAAUAAGCACCGGCUAACUCUGUGCCAGCAGCCGCAGUAA